AAACCUCCCAAGGCAACCAAGAAAGUAAUCCGCACACAACAUACCCACAUCCGUCUCCACUUUCCUGUGAUCUCUCCUCCCCGCACGUAUACACUACUCGCUCUAUCUUCCGCUACGACACUCCCCGCGGUCCCUCAAAGAAAACCCAAUAAUGAGGAAUUGCAAUCGGCCAAGGAUUGCGUGCAGCAACGAGUGCUUGGGUUGCAAGCAGUGCUGCACGAGGCUCUCAUCAUCACCAGACCAGGCCUCUGCCACCCGCAGAAUCCCUUUACUACCGGUAACUCGUGAUCUACAUAGGAAUGGCGAGACGUCUUGUUCUGCUAAAGAUACCGAGGAUUCGCUGCAGUGUGUCGUGGACAUGUGCACAUGAUUCAGGAUGAUGCUCCUUGGAACUGGCCUCUGAAGGUGGAGGGGAUCACUUGUUGGCGUAACGAGCCACAAAUGGUAUGAUUCCAUAAACAGGUGAACUUAACGUGAAGCAAGGAGGUAUGGUGUGAUUUUAAUGGAGAUCCGAAGGAGAUGUAAGGACGGAAUCAACAAAGCUGAUGAGA